rnacentral:tRNA from 1 species
GCUCUUGUAGUCUAAUGGAUAGGACACGGCCCUCCGAAGGCUGUAAUCUGAGUUCAAGUCUCAGCAGGCUUU